GACGAACGCUGGCGGCGUGCUUAACACAUGCAAGUCGAACGGAAAGGCCCUGCUUCUCUGGGGGGCUCGAGUUGCUAACGUGUGAAUAACGCGUGAGUAACCUGCCUGUUCCUUUGGGAUCACUUCAAUAAACUGGGGCUACUACGGGUUAGGCGCUCCUGCUGCGCGGUGUGGGUUGGGAAGUUUGGGCGGUUGGGGUUGGAGUCGCGGCUUAUCACCUUGUUGGUGGGCUAGUGGCUUAGCAAGGCUUUGACGGGUAGCCGGCCUGAGAGCGUGACCGGCCACACUGGGACUGAGAUACGGCGCAGACUCCUACGGGAGGCAUGAGUGGGGAAUAGUGCACAGUGGGCGGAAGGCUGAGGCAGCAACGCCGGGUGCGGGAUUGCGGCCUUCGGGUGGUAAAGCGCUUUCGCCUGGGACGGAGCGUUAGUGACGGUAAUGGGAAAAGAAGCACCGGCUAACUACGUG
rnacentral:rRNA from 1 species